rnacentral:misc_RNA from 1 species
AAUCUAAACCAUUUAAAGCCUCAAGAAGAAAAACGUACUCUAUGGUUAUACAUACGUACUAUUUUAUUAAUAUUUCUACUCUCCUAAAAAUAAACUACUAGAAAUAUGACUAAGUCAUACAUUAAAAGAUGAAACUUGUUAAUAAAAAUGUUAAGUUAGUUUCCCAUCUUAGUUGAUGUGUCAACACAGUGGUUAUUGACACGUUUAAAAGGAAUAUUGUUGACGUGUGAAGACUCUAUCUAACAAUGAGAUGAGUGUUAAAACCUUUUUCACCAGACACUGGUUUAUGUACACCAUGUGUUUAGUGAUCAUCCUGGCCUAUAUCGCACCUGGUGUGGGCUCUAAAGGAGGACUGAUAUACCCUGAGAUAACUGUCAAGUAUGGGGCAGUGUCAACCAUCUUCUUCUUCAGUGGUGUUUCCCUCCAGACCAGUGAUAUUCAUGCUGCCAUGUCACAAACCUCGCUACAUGUCUUCAUACAAGGAACAACAUUUUUAGUAUAUCCAGUUUUUAUGAAAAUACUUUGUAUUCUAUUGACUACCAUCGGGGAUUUCAAUAAGUCACUUUUAAAAGGUCUUCAGGUUGUAAGUUGCAUGCCACCACCUGUGUCAUCUGCUGUUAUUCUCACAAAAGCUUGUGGAGGAAAUAAUGCAGCAGCCAUCUUUAACUCUGUUGUCGGCAGCUUCCUUGGCCUCUUUUUGACCCCACUGUCUCUAAGGCUAUGGCUUGGUAUCUCGGCAUCCAUCCCUGUCACCAGUACAAUAGUGCAGCUCGCUCUUACUGUUCUGGUUCCUCUGACAAUUGGUCACUUGAUUCGGAGAACUGGAUACCACCGAGUUCUCAUGCCUCCAGGAUCACCUUUAGGAACUCUAGGGCAAUGGAUGCUGCUCCUCAUCAUUUAUUCAACAUUCUGUGACAUGUUCAGAUCAGCAGAAUUAGAGGCAGUUCUUCCUAGGGUGGCAUCUGCAGUCCUUAUAGUGCUCUUCAUGCAGUGUACUCUUCUGUAUGUAACCUGGUGGAUAUCUCACCGCUGGCUGGUGGGAUGGUUUUCCCGGGGUGACACCCUGGCCAUCAUGUUCUGCUCCACACACAAGUCACUAACUCUGGGUCUGCCUAUUCUUCGUAUAUUGGUGUCAGAGGUGUCAGCACUGGGAGAAUUAGCUCUUCCCCUGCUGGUCCACCACCCACUGCAGAUGGUGCUGGGUGGCUCACUCACUCCUAGAUUGGCAGCCUGGGCUCAGCAUCAGAUUAAAAGAGUCUUGACUUCAGAAGUUUGAAGAUCAGUUGGAGUGUCCUAAUCCCUCCUGACUGGAAAAUGAUACCUACCAUCUUCUUUGUGAUAAUUGUGCAGAAAUCGGCCUGUCUACAAGUGAGAUUUGGACUACACGAGCAGUGAGCAAAGAGAUUAAUCUGGAACAUAACUUUUGUAUCAACAAAGAAUUUUUUUAUGAAAUGCCUAAUACAGUGUUGUACUGUAAAUCUGUAUCAUUACAAGACAAUAUACAUUUACAGAACUUAAUAUUCAAUAAUCAAAGAGCAAGGUCUCAGCUGUGGGUCAAAGAUCAAAUCUACAGAAAUGGCAUAUUAUGUAGCAUAGUGCUUUUGUUCCUAUGUCCUUAUUUGAUAUAAUUUAGUUAUUAAUGAAGCAUGGAAUGAGCAUUAUUUCUCAUUAGUUCUCCAAACGUGGAAGUUCAUUUCAUUUAACUUUUGAUGUACAGUACAUUAUUUAUGUAUGAUUGUAAUUCAUGGUACUAUAUGUAUCCUCUGUAUGUGUACAGUAUAUGGACUACAGUUUAUGUAUCAAAAGAAUAAUGGACCAGAGUCAUAGAAACAGCACUUUUUUACAUACACCCAGAGAUAAAUUGUAUAAAUUUUAACCCAAGGCACCAAAUUAAAGAGGGUGUCAGGAAAGUAUUAAAGGUGGUAUCCUCAUAAAGAUCUACUUAAUGCAGUUUUACACAAUAAGAUAAUAAUACUUAAGUAGUCAUAUAAUAACACAAAUACCUGUACUGAUGCUGAUAAUGAAGAUAAUUAUUGUUUUGUUUUUCACAUACUGUAUAGUACAUGUACUGUACUUUUACUUUCAAAGUACAGUACAGUACAGUAAUUAUAUUUUCAUUAUGUUUCAUGUUUGGAUAUUUCCACUCUUUUUGGUGGUAUUAGUAUAAUCCUAAAAUUUUUAUUUUCAUAUUACCUGUCAUUUGUUUCAUGAAUUAGAGGAAUUUUGCUUGAAUGUGUAAAUAGUAGGCAUUCCAGGACAUGAGAUUUUAUUGACAAGGCAAUUAUUUCUUUAUUUUCUAUAGUGCGGCAGGAACUUUUAAAGAAUAUUAUUCUCCUACAAAAUUAGUGCAUUACCGUGUAGAUACUGUAUACAGUUUUGCAUUUUAAAAACUAGAAAGGUUGUGCAUUUUAUCAUGUACUGUACUGUACAUAUUUAACAUAGUGGAAGCCAAGAAUAGAGUGGCAUUAGUCUCUUGUUCUCUCUCACACAUAUUAUUAAGGUGCUGGUAUGAUGUUGCUGUGAUACAGUAGAAGAUCUCCAUUCUGAAUUACUUGGGACCAGUCAUUGUUUGAACUGCAUAUACAGUAAGUCUUCGUUUAACAUUGCCCCCUACAAUGUUGUUUCGUUAUAACGUCGCUACUCUUUAGAUACCCAUGAUUCAGACAAUGUCCCGGCUAUUCAUUAUAACGUCGUCACGGACUACUUUGUACGACACAUCACCCUCUCUCAUCUUGGCACACUACGCUCUCUUGCGGAGCGUCACAGCAUCCCCAGUCUUUGUUAGGCUUCCACGGCAUUCAUGCACAUUUUCAUUACUGUACUGUAACUAUUUGAAAUGGCUUCAAAGCGCCCAUCAAGUGUUAGUGAUGCUAGUGUUGUGA